rnacentral:rRNA from 1 species
CUUGUACAGGUGCUGCAUGGCUGUCGUCAGCUCGUGUCGUGAGAUGUUCGGUUAAGUCCGCUAACGAGCGCAACCCUCGCUGUGUGUUACAAGUGUCACACGGAACUGCCGGUCAUAAACCGGAGGAAGGUGGGAUGACGUCAAGUCAGCAUGGCCUUUAUAUCCUGGGCUACACACACGCUACAAUGGGAAGGGACAAUAGGUUGCGAAGCCGCGAGGCGGAGCCAAUCCAGCAAAACUUCCCUCAGUUCAGAUUGCAGGCUGCAACCCGCCUGCAUGAAGUUGGAGUUGCUAGUAAACGCAGGUCAGCCAUACUGCGUUGAAUACGUUCCCGGGGCUU